AACUCAUACUGGUUAAUUGUUCUAUCCCUACACUCAUAGUGAGACCCAAUCAUACCUUCUGUAUAUUCCAACCCAAUAGCUGUUGUUAAUUCAUCUGCCAUCUUCUGUUGAAAAGGAAGGACAUUAUUCUUCACACUCAGUCCAGAUAGGGGUUGAUAGCGUAACUUUUAAUGGGAACAUUUGUGAAAGAAUAUUCUCCUCAUGUUUUCUGGUGUUUAAAUACUCAACCUGUCUUUGAUCACCCAACUGUUUCAUACUUAUCCCAGGUCUAGCUUCUUGCACUUUUCCCAAACGCCAAUGCAAAUAUCUGCAACACACUGAUUUCUGUCUGUAUUUACUGACACACAAUGUGGCAUCUAGCCCAAGGUACACAACAGUGGACCGGGAAAUGGAGGGUUUAGCGAUGAAAGUCACAAAUAGUACUUGUAUUUUGCUUGCAAUAGUGCCUUCAUCUCCUGUACAAGUCUGCCAGUUCAGAUAAUGUCUGGUUUGUGUUGCUCGUCGUUUGCCUGUGUACACAUGAAGGUGUAUGUGCAAUCAAACUCCAUGUUUUACAUCAUUUCCUAUCUAUACUAUAGGUGUGUUCUAUGGGUUGUUUUAUUGUGUAUUUGUAGGUAUUUGUUUGGUUUCUUUGUCAAAUGUUUUAUUCCAGCAUGAAGCUCCAAAUCACAAACAUCCACCUUAAAAGAAGAAAAAAAAAAGGGUUGUGCAGUGUGACGCAUGCUUGUUGGCUCAGGCUCAGGCUGUAAUGCGGCAAAAACAGUCCUGACUGAGAAACUGCAUGAUUUAUUAUGGUGAGCGUCCUCGAUUCUGUUCUGUCUUUUCAGUGUGCUUUGGUCUUGACUGACGCGACUCUUGCUCCCAGAUUUCUUGUUUCUUUUGGGCUUCAUUGUCCUUUGUUUGUGCCGUGUGACCGCGGCUUUAGCCAGAAGGUCCACUGCUACAUGGUUGACCUCGGAACAUCUACAUGGUCCCAUCUGAUUUGUCAUGGAAUAAUUUUACUUGCCUCCCUGUGGGUGACCACAGUUUCAAAGUGGACCCAUCCAUUGCCUUUACCUCUUCCAUUUUAUAAUCCUUUAAAAUCUCUUCAGUCAUAAACAGCCAGUGAGUAGGAAGUCUAAUCUCAUGCUGCCAAAGUUUGGGGUUUGAUUCCGUAAUUACAAUAUACAUACUAUGGCACUGUAAGGGAUUUGGUUGUACACCAAAUGACAUACUUUUAUGUUACGCUGAUGGUUUGCACACUUCUCAUUACUGUCUUUGUACUACUUACCACCUUUCCCUUGUGCCCCUGUUGCUGCAUGAGUCCCACCUAGGGAAGCCUUAUUUGUCUAAUGCACUAAACCUAAGAAUGCCACGCACCCCACCCUGAACCCCACCCUACCUCUGGUCCUUUCACAUCCACACAACUCAGUAGCAAAUUCACAGCCAGUUCACACCUUCCAUGCAGCGAUCAGCCCUUUGGUAACUGUUUUACGCUCUCUAUUUUAAAUGAAACUAAAGCUGUGUUCAUGUUAUUGCACAAACAAUAUUUUGUGAGUCUUAUCCAUUGUUGUGUCAGAUGGUGACUGUGUCAACAAGAGCAGAGAGCCUCAUGCUAAUAAAAUACACCAGAAUUUCC